GCCAAUUUAACUCAACGGUAGAGUAUUUGUUUUGUAAACAAAAGGGUAUCAGUUCAAAUCUGAUAAUUGGCU
rnacentral:tRNA from 1 species